CCGGGUGGCGCCGCCUGGCCUCCCGCCCCGGCGCCGCCUGCUCUAACCGCUUCGGGCGCGGCGGCAGCGGUUUGGCGCUGCCUGGAGCCCCGGGUCUCGGUUCCUGCAAAAUACGUUCAAGGAGAAUGCCUGCAGCUGAGCAGAGAAUUUAACCUAAGCUUCCUGGCAACUCAAGGAAAAGAAGAACACAAGAAAGAAACUGAAUAAAGUAGAACAGAAUGGAAACAACUAGAAAACAAAUAGAGCACAGGCCAAGGUGGCAGGAGGGAGACCAAAUACAGACGACAAUGAGUAUAAAUGGGUUCUUCUCUAAGAAAAAGGAAAAAAUGGAAUCCAGUGAUCAGCUGCUUACAAGUCAGGCCCGUAACAUGGCGAUGGAGACAGCAUACAAACUAAUGCCUCUCAGGAUCUUUGGCUGGGGAGCAGGGUUGGAGUGACAUCCAGCAUGCAGGGGCUGCCUCCUAUGCCAGGCGAACCCUGGGACUGUCACACCUGUGCACUUCAUCUGACUGCCACAAACACAGCUGCCACCUUCAUCCUCUGGUUCUGAGUCACUCUGGUGAGGCAACCUGGGGAGAACUGCGUUACGUCACUUGUUUUCCAAAAACACUUCCAGGGCCAUCUCUUUCUCUGUACGGUGGAAAAGGUGGUUCUGGGAAGGCUCUUGAUGUCUGCUCUGACUUGAAAACCACUAAGCAGAGCUAAAGGAGGAAGAGCGUUGCAAGACUCAUAUGUGCUUAAUAGUUUCAGUGUACUUUACAAAACUCAAUUAUUUGUGCUAAUGGAAGAAGGAAUGAGAAGAUAAUGCUAAAUAGGCGCAAACCCUAAUGGCCUUUAGGGUUAGCUUUCCAGUGUGUCGGCACCCGCAGGUCCUGCUUGGCUCUGCUUCCUUUGGAGAGUUUCCCAUCCAGCAUGCAUUCCCAUCUGUGGUGAGCAGGCCCACUCCUCCAGGAAAUGUCACACAUGCCAAGAAAGAAAACUCGGCCCUUGAUGUUUAUUGCUGAAAUACACAAAUCAUAUAACCUCCAUACGCUUCAUUAAGAGUGGAUUAAAAACAAACAAAAACAACCCAACACUGCAUCUAAGUAAACAGAGUGCAAGAAUUCAUCCAGGUACUAAUAACAAGGUAUGUCACCUGAGAUUUCAUGAAACUGACCACCUACGAAUGGG